UCCAGGGUUCCGGCUCUUAUAAAGUAGGGCGUUUCUAGGAACUGCUCUGCUUGACAGGAAUUCCCAUUUCAGGCAGAAGUCAGGGAAGACAGAGUCAGUCUCCUGUGCAUCCUAGAAUUAGGGCAGACACACAGCUGUUCAGAAAGCCCAAAGCUGGCUCUCGUCAGAAGACGCUCUAUUUUAUGUUUUUAGAGACAGGGCCUCACUCUGUCAUUCAGGCUGGAGUGCAGUGGUCAAUCACAGUGCACUGUAACUUUGAACUCCUGGGCUCGAGCGAUCCUCACACCUCAGCCUCUCAAGUAGCUAGAACUACAGGUGGGUGCCACCAUCACUGGCUAAUUUUUUUUUUUAAUUAUUUGUAGGCUAGGUGCAGUGGCCUGUAAUCUCAGCACUUUGAGAGGCUGAGGUGGGAGGAUCACUUGAAGCCAGGAGAUGGAGACCAACCUGAGUAACAAAGUGAGAUCCUGUCUACAAAAACUUGUUUAAAACUUACCCAGGUGAGGCAGAGGUUGCAGUGAGCUGAGAUCAUGCCACUGCACUGCAGCCUGGGUGACAGAGCAAGACUCCAUCAAAAAAAAAAAAAAAUUAUUUGUAGAGAUGAGGGUCUCACUAUGUUGCCCAGCCUGGUCUCAAACUCCUGGCCUUAGUGAUCCUCCUGCCUUGGACUCCCAAAGCAAUGGGAUUACAGACGUGAGCUACCACAUCUGACCAGAAGAUACUUAAGUGGAACCAAGUCUGGGCUGGCAACAAACCACUUACAUAGUGUGUGUGUGUGUGUGUGUGUGUGUGUGUGUGUGUGCGCACAUUAAAAUAACACAACAUAAAACUUAUCCUUGCGAUCAUUACCAAAAAUUAUUUUUCUUUUUACAACAACUUCUUGUCCAACAGACCUUUCAAUCAUUUUUAAAUGUACAAUUUAGUGACAUUAAGUACAUUCACAAUGUUGUACAACCAGUACCACUCGGCACUUUCAGAAUUUUUCAUGAUUCCAAACAGAAACUCUGUAUCCAUUAAACAACAACUUCCCAUUUUUCCUGCCCCUGGUAAUCACAUUCUACUUUCUGCUAUUAUGAAUUUGACUACUCCAGGUACCUCACAUAAGUGGAAUCAUACAAUGUUUGUUCUUUUGUGUCUGGCUUCUUUCAUUUAGUACAAUAUUUCCAAGGUUCAUCCAUGCUGUAGCAUGUAUCAGAAUUUCAUUUUUUAUGGCUGAAUAAUAUUCCAUUGCAUGCAUAUGCCACAUUUUGUUUACCCAUUCAUCUAUAAAU
rnacentral:lncRNA from 1 species